rnacentral:rRNA from 1 species
AUGGAUCUUCUGGAGGUUUUCGUUCGACGGUGCAUCCAGCCACUCCAAUACCGGGGCCACCCGAUGUGGUUGUACUCUGGUACUGAAGACACCACUCGGGUCCAUCCAGAGGAGGUCGACGAUGCCACACUGGAGAGGUGGAUGACUGCCAUCACAGGGAACAAGGACAACCCUCAUGGGGCCAGGAGGAUCCCGCCACUCGACCAGUCUUAUGAAUCAGACAAGGCUACCACUGAGUUGUAUUCGAUGCCCAACGGGGCGCAAGCACAGACCGAGGAGGAGGAAGGAAGUGGAGGUGAAAGUCAGGAGGAGUGGGAAUCGGAUGGCGAUGAGGGUGAUGAAGAUGUAGGCUCCGAUGAGGAGGAGGAGGAAGAGGAGGAAGUUGCGCCUCCCCGUUCUGAAAGAAGGUCCAAGCUUGCCCAUGACCCUGCGGUCGAGCGCGGCAAGGGGGCCGCGCCUGUUGUGCAAUCGACCAAGCGUCCUCGGACGACCUCUCCGGCGCCGACUGAGAAAGCGCCGAAGCAAUCUCGAGUGGUGCCGUCGAAGCCGACGAAGGCUUUGCCAAAGAUGAAGAUGGUGAUUCCCACUAUUUCUAGUGCUGCUACUUCUGAUACCUCGGCCAGACCUGAAGAUCAAGAAAUGGAGGAUGCCGUCACUUCCAACCCUGGUAUGACCUUUGAAGUUUCGUUUUCAGUCGGUGGGAUCUUCGUUUUUAACUUUGACUCUUUUCUGCAGCUCCGUCUAAUAUCAUCAUUGAUCUUCUUGAUGAUGAUGAAGACGAGGCACCACUGA